rnacentral:rRNA from 1 species
AUAACUUAGUGGCGAACGGGUGAGUAACGCGUGAGUAACCUGCCCUGGAGUGGGGGACAACAGUUGGAAACGACUGCUAAUACCGCAUAAGCCCACGGAUCCGCAUGGAUCUGCGGGAAAAGGAUUUAUUCGCUUCAGGAUGGACUCGCGUCCAAUUAGCUAGUUGGUGAGGUAACGGCCCACCAAGGCGACGAUUGGUAGCCGGACUGAGAGGUUGAACGGCCACAUUGGGACUGAGACACGGCCCAGACUCCUACGGGAGGCAGCAGUGGGGGAUAUUGCACAAUGGGGGAAACCCUGAUGCAGCGACGCCGCGUGGAGGAAGAAGGUUUUCGGAUUGUAAACUCCUGUCGUUAGGGACGAUAAUGACGGUACCUAACAAGAAAGCACCGGCUAACUACGUGCCAGCAGCCGCGGUAAAACGUAGGGUGCAAGCGUUGUCCGGAAUUACUGGGUGUAAAGGGAGCGCAGGCGGACCGGCAAGUUGGAAGUGAAAACUAUGGGCUCAACCCAUAAAUUGCUUUCAAAACUGC